rnacentral:rRNA from 1 species
UACGUAGGGGGCAAGCGUUGUCCGGAAUCAUUGGGCGUAAAGCGCGUGUAGGCGGCUCAGUAAGUCCGCUCUGAAAGCCCGGGGCUUAACCCCGGGAGGCGGGUGGAUACUGCUGAGCUUGAGUCCGGAAGAGGCGAGUGGAAUUCCCGGUGUAGCGGUGAAAUGCGCAGAUAUCGGGAGGAGCACCAAUGGCGAAGGCAGCUCGCUGGGACGUGACUGACGCUGAGACGCGAAAGCGUGGGGAGCAAACAGG